rnacentral:rRNA from 1 species
GACAGAGGGUGCAAACGUUGUUCGGAAUUACUGGGCGUAAAGCGCGUGUAGGCUGCUUCGCAAGUCGGAUGUGAAAAGCCCUGGGCUCAACCCAGGAAGUGCAUUCGAAACUGCAGAGCUGGAGUCCUGGAGAGGAAGGCGGAAUUCUCGGUGUAGAGGUGAAAUUCGUAGAUAUCGACAGGAACACCUGCGGCGAAAGCGGCCUUCUGGACGAACACUGACGCUGAGACACGAAAGCGUGGGGAGCGAACCGG